AUGCGGUCUUCUUGAUUUAUGAUUUUGGUUUUCGCGGAGGAGGUUGUCCCAGUUGUGGAAACAAAGCUAAAUAACAUAAAGAUUGAAGUUGAAUUUGUAAAGCUUGAAGCAUACCAUAAAUGCGUAUAAUGGUAAUGUUGAUUGGACCCGUAGAGACCCCUUUGAACUAUGGCUCAUGAUACAUUGAUUGUUUUGGUAUAAUUAUUCAUUUUUGUCAAAUGUAAGAAAUAAGAAGUUUCGGUUGGUUUGUAUAAAUGGAUGGUAUGGAGACUUUUGGAAA